CCGGCGCCCAGUCGCCCGGGGGGCGGGCAGCGGGAGGCGGCGGGGGCCGCGGGGCAGCCCUGGAGCCCGAAGGCGCCGAGAAGGAGCCCUCCGGGGCGGAGGAGGUCCUGGCCAUGAGCCCCUCCGACCACCCCGGACAGCCCUUGGCAGCAGCUGAGCCGGAUCCUGCCCAGGCCCAUCAGGAGGAGGAGGAGGAGCCGCCCACCCCGGAAGAUGCCGACUGCAACCCUGGGCAGCUGCCACCCGCGCCUGCCGAGGAGGCCGGUCACCCCAAGAGCUACUGCCAGGCCUGGCUCCUGGCCCCGCUGGAGGACGCCAGGUUCCUCAUCUGCUGCACCAACUGGUAUUAGCUGCUCGUGGGCCGCCGCCAGCGCAGGGGACUUGCCCGAAAGGCCCAGCAUCCACCUUCAGGCUCCCAGACGUGCAGCUCUUAUUAAAAGACGGGGAGCAUGACUGGCUUUACUCACCACAGGCCACGUUGGUACUAUUUGCUUGGUUAACUUAAUCAUCAUUUCCCAGGUCAAUUCCCAGCCACGCUCUGGACGGUGUUGGUACUGUAUCCACGCUGGGGUUGUGGGUUUUUUGAGAUGUAAGGGGCUGUGAUCAUCCUGAAAGCUUCCUGAAAUCACCAGGUGGAGGGUUUUGGUUUUUUUCUGUUGCUUUAAUUCUGACUAUAUUCACACUGUGCACUUGAGCCAGGUUAGUUUAGCUGAGUAAGAGAAAACCCAGCUUCCUGGAUUCACAGAUCACACACUGUGGGCUGGGUUUGCACAAAACAAACAAAAAUGCUUCACUUCAGGCGUCUUGUGAAUACAGCUGUGGUUAGGCUAAGAGAUGUAAGCAAGUGAUAGGGCAAAUAUUUAAGGCGCAUCUCCAUCGUUGGAGACUUACCCAAAGACCUUUUGCCCUGCCAAAGGAGCGAUGGGGAAUAUAACACAAGAGGAUUCUCAUUCUUCCGUAUAUGAGAAUAAUAUGCUCUAUAGAAUAGGCUCUUAAGCUUUAUUCAAGAAUCUGAGCCUUGCAUAAAAAUACUUUUCUCCCUGCAUAUUUAUAAGUCUGAGUGGACAAUGGUUUUAUUAUCACUGUUGUAAGAUUAACUCAGCAAUCAUGGUGUCAUAAAAUAUUAAAAGUGAUUAAUGAG